CCUGGAGACUCCUACGGGAGGCAGCAGUGGGGAAUAUUGCACAAUGGGCGCAAGCCUGAUGCAGCGACGCCGCGUGAGGGAUGACGGCCUUCGGGUUGUAAACCUCUGUUAGCAUCGAAGAAGCGAAAGUGACGGUAGGUGCAGAGAAAGCGCCGGCUAACUACGUGCCAGCAGCCGCGGUAAUACGUAGGGCGCGAGCGUUGUCCGGAAUUAUUGGGCGUAAAGAGCUUGUAGGCGGUUGGUCGCGUCUGCUGUGAAAGGCUGGGGCUUAACCCUGGUUUUGCAGUGGGUACGGGCUAACUAGAGUGCAGUAGGGGAGACUGGAAUUCCUGGUGUAGCGGUGGAAUGCGCAGAUAUCAGGAGGAACACCGAUGGCGAAGGCAGGUCUCUGGGCUGUAACUGACGCUGAGAAGCGAAAGCAUGGGGAGCGAACAGGAUUAGAAACCCCGGUAGUCCAGAAGUG
rnacentral:rRNA from 1 species